rnacentral:rRNA from 1 species
GGGUAGUCCAGGGUGUAAACGCUGCGAGCUUGGUGUUGGAGGUCCUACGAGGGCGUCCAGUGCCGGAGAGAAGUUGUUAAGCUCGCCGCCUGGGGAGUACGAUCGCAAGAUUGAAACUUAAAGGAAUUGGCGGGGGAGCACCGCAACGGGUGGAGCGUGCGGUUCAAUUGGAUCCAACGCCGGAAAACUCACCGGAGGCGACUGUUACAUGAAAGUCAGGCUGAUGACCUUACUCGAUUUUCAGAGAGGUGGUGCAUGGCCGCCGUCAGUUCGUACCGCAAGGCGUUCUGUUAAGUCAGAUAACGAACGAGACCCCAUCCCUUAAUUGCCAUACUGGUCUUCGGACCAGAGGAACAUUAAGGGAACCGCUGGCGUUAAGUCAGAGGAAGGUGGGGCAACGGUAGGUCAGUAUGCCCCGAAUCCUCCGGGCUACACGCGCGCUACAAAGGACAGGACAAUGGGGUUCCGACAUCGAGAGAUGAAGGCAAUCCCGAAACCUGUUCAUAGUCCGGAUUGAGGACUGCAACCCGUCCUCA